rnacentral:rRNA from 1 species
UACGUAGGGUGCGAGCGUUGUCCGGAAUUAUUGGGCGUAAAGAGCUUGUAGGCGGUUUGUCGCGUCUGCUGUGAAAAUCCGGGGCUCAACCCCGGGCCUGCAGUGGGUACGGGCAGACUAGAGUGCGGUAGGGGAGACUGGAAUUCCUGGUGUAGCGGUGAAAUGCGCAGAUAUCAGGAGGAACACCGGUGGCGAAGGCGGGUCUCUGGGCCGUAACUGACGCUGAGGAGCGAAAGCGUGGGGAGCGAACAGG